rnacentral:tRNA from 1 species
GCUCUCAUAGUUCAGUGGAUAGAACAUCAGCUUCCGGAGCUGAGAACAGGGGUUCGAGUCCUCUUGAGAGCA